GCGGCGGCACGUAGGACGGAUCUCUUGGAUUUACCUGUAACGAGGAGCGGCGCACCCCAGGAGCCCCGGCAGCACCCCAGGAGCCCCGGCAGCACCCCAGGAGCCCCGGCAGCACCCCAGGAGCCCCGGCAGCACCCCAGGAGCCCCGGCAGCACCCCAGGAGCCCCGGCAGCACCCCRGGAGCCCCGGCAGCACCCCAGGAGCCCCGGCAGCACCCCGGGAGCCCCGGCAGCACCCCAGGAGCCCCGGUACGCAACCCUCCCCCGGGAACCCCGGCAGCACCCCGGGAACCCCGGCAGCACCCCAGGAACCCCGGCAGCACCCCAGGAGCCCCGGCAGCACCCCAGGAGCCCCGGCAGCACCCCAGGAACCCCGGCAGCACCCCAGGARCCCCGGCAGCACCCCAGGAGCCCCGGCAGCACCCCAGGARCCCCGGCAGCACCCCAGGAGCCCCGGCAGCACCCCAGGAGCCCCGGCAGCACCCCAGGAGCCCCGGUACGCAACCCUCCCCCGGGAACCCCGGCAGCACCCCGGGAGCCCCGGCAGCACCCCAGGAGCCCCGGCAGCACCCCAGGAGCCCCGGCAGCACCCCAGGAGCCCCGGCAGCACCCCAGGAGCCCCGGCAGCACCCCAGGAGCCCCGGCGCCACCCUCCCCCCGGAGGGGGAUCCCGGCGCGCCACCCUCCCCCCGGAGGGGGAUCCCGGCGCGCCACCCUCCCCCCGGAGGGGGAUCCCGGCGCGCCACCCUCCCCCCGGAGGGGGAUCCCGGCGCGCCACCCUCCCCCCGGAGGGGGAUCCCGGCGCGCCACCCUCCCCGGCAACAACCUGUUGCCAUGUAUUGCGAUUUGUAUCAGUCACAAGCACACAACCCCUUCUAGUAUUAAUGAUGUUUAAAACGUUCUACACGUACGGCGGACCGCAUCCGUCGCAAGCACGCGCAUAUAACCCCCAAAUGCACCAUGAUGAGAAGCACAGCCACGCGUCAAAAAAGUUUAAAAACAUCGUUAUCCAAUAUUAAAAACCACACCGAAAUUUACACAGGUGGCACGUUACCGUGUUAGUGUCACCCACUGUACACAAGGCGUGUCGUAUAUGUAGUAUAGGUAUUUGAUGAGGCGGAAGCAUAUCCCGCUUCCAGCGAACGGAAAUAAGGAUCAUCCGUUCCAGCAUUUAUUCAAAGGGGGCACAGAGGGUUCACAUUGUUUAGAGAGAGUUUUUCUUAGUAACCAUUCCAUACUUUGGCAGUAUUGGCCUACGAUUUGGGCGACGUUUCAGGCUGGUCUAUUCUCCGUCCACUUUUCCCCGGCUAUUCUAUCCCAGCAUAGGCUCUUGAAAUAAACAAUGUUUACCGAGUAAAA
rnacentral:lncRNA from 1 species